rnacentral:rRNA from 1 species
GAUGAACGCUGGCGGCGUGCCUAAUACAUGCAAGUCGAGCGAACAGACGAGGAGCUUGCUCCUCUGACGUUAGCGGCGGACGGGUGAGUAACACGUGGAUAACCUACCUAUAAGACUGGGAUAACUUCGGGAAACCGGAGCUAAUACCGGAUAAUAUAUUGAACCGCAUGGUUCAAUAGUGAAAGACGGUUUUGCUGUCACUUAUAGAUGGAUCCGCGCCGCAUUAGCUAGUUGGUAAGGUAACGGCUUACCAAGGCAACGAUGCGUAGCCGACCUGAGAGGGUGAUCGGCCACACUGGACCUGAGACACGGUCCAGACUCCUACGGGAGGCAGCAGUAGGGAAUCUUCCGCGAUGGGCGAAAGCUUGACGGAGCAACGCCGCGUGAGUGAUGAAGGUCUUCGGAUCGUAAAACUCUGUUAUUAGGGAAGAACAAAUGUGUAAGUAACUAUGCACGUCUUGACGGUACCUAAUCAGAAAGCCACGGCUAACUACGUG